rnacentral:rRNA from 1 species
GAUGAACGCUGGCGGCGUGCCUAAUACAUGCAGGUCGAGCGAACAGACGAGGAGCUUGCUCCUCUCACGUUAGCGGCGGACGUGUGUGUAACACGUGUAUCCCCUACCUAUCUGUCUGGGAUAACUUCGGGACACCGGCUCUAAUCCCGGAUAAUCUAUUGCACCGCAUGGUUCAUUGGUGAAAGUCGGUGUUGCUGGCUCUUCUAGCUGGAUCCGCGCCGCAUUAGCUAGUUGGUAAGGUAACGGCUUACCAAGGCUACGAGGCGUAGACGAACUGAGAGGGGGAUCGGCCACACGGGAACUGAGACGCGGUCCAGACGCCUAAGGGAGGCAGCAGUAGGGAAUCUGCCGCAAUAGGCGAAAGCCUGACGGAGCAACGCCGCGUGAGUGAUGAAGGUCUCCGGAUCGUAAAACUCUGUUAUUAGGGAAGAACAAAUGUGUAAGUAACUAUGCACGUCUUGACGGUACCUAAUCAGAAAGCCACGGCUAACUACGUG